rnacentral:rRNA from 1 species
GUCUAUGGCCACACCACCUUGAACACACCCAGUCUUGUCUGAUCUUGGAAGCUAAACAGCAUCUGGCCUGGUUAGUGCUUGGAUGGGAGACUGCCUGAAUACUGGGUGCUGUCGGCU